UAUCAGAAGUGCGAAUGCUGACAUAAGUAACGAUAAAGCGGGUGAAAAGCCCGCUCGCCGGAAGACCAAGGGUUCCUGUCCAACGUUAAUCGGGGCAGGGUGAGUCGACCCCUAAGGCGAGGCCGAAAGGCGUAGUCGAUGGGAAACGGGUUAAUAUUCCCGUACUUGGUGUUACUGCGAAGGGGGGACGGAGAAGGCUAUGUUGGCCGGGCGACGGUUGUCCCGGUUUAAGCGUGUAGGUGUGUGUUCCAGGUAAAUCCGGUUCACUUUAACACUGAGGCGUGAUGACGAGGCACCACGGUGCUGAAGCAACAAAUGCCCUGCUUCCAGGAAAAGCCUCUAAGCAUCAGGUAACAUCAAAUCGUACCCCAAACCGACACAGGUGGUCAGGUAGAGAAUACCAAGGCGCUUGAGAGAACUCGGGUGAAGGAACUAGGCAAAAUGGUGCCGUAACUUCGGGAGAAGGCACGCUGACACGUAGGUGAAGUGAUUUACUCAUGGAGCUGAAGUCAGUCGAAGAUACCAGCUGGCUGCAACUGUUUAUUAAAAACACAGCACUGUGCAAACACGAAAGUGGACGUAUACGGUGUGACGCCUGCCCGGUGCCGGAAGGUUAAUUGAUGGGGUCAGCGCAAGCGAAGCUCCUGAUCGAAGCCCCGGUAAACGGCGGCCGUAACUAUAACGGUCCUAAGGUAGCGAAAUUCCUUGUCGGGUAAGUUCCGACCUGCACGAAUGGCGUAAUGAUGGCCAGGCUGUCUCCACCCGAGACUCAGUGAAAUUGAACUCGCUGUGAAGAUGCAGUGUACCCGCGGCAAGACGGAAAGACCCCGUGAACCUUUACUAUAGCUUGACACUGAACAUUGAGCCUUGAUGUGUAGGAUAGGUGGGAGGCUUUGAAGCGUGGACGCCAGUCUGCGUGGAGCCGACCUUGAAAUACCACCCUUUAAUGUUUGAUGUUCUAACGUGGACCCGUAAUCCGGGUUGCGGACAGUGUCUGGUGGGUAGUUUGACUGGGGCGGUCUCCUCCUAAAGAGUAACGGAGGAGCACGAAGGUUGGCUAAUCCUGGUCGGACAUCAGGAGGUUAGUGCAAUGGCAUAAGCCAGCUUGACUGCGAGCGUGACGGCGCGAGCAGGUGCGAAAGCAGGUCAUAGUGAUCCGGUGGUUCUGAAUGGAAGGGCCAUCGCUCAACGGAUAAAAGGUACUCCGGGGAUAACAGGCUGAUACCGCCCAAGAGUUCAUAUCGACGGCGGUGUUUGGCACCUCGAUGUCGGCUCAUCACAUCCUGGGGCUGAAGUAGGUCCCAAGGGUAUGGCUGUUCGCCAUUUAAAGUGGUACGCGAGCUGGGUUUAGAACGUCGUGAGACAGUUCGGUCCCUAUCUGCCGUGGGCGCUGGAAGACUGAGGGGGGCUGCUCCUAGUACGAGAGGACCGGAGUGGACGCAUCACUGGUGUUCGGGUUGUCAUGCCAAUGGCACUGCCCGGUAGCUAAAUGCGGAAAAGAUAAGUGCUGAAAGCAUCUAAGCACGAAACUUGCCCCGAGAUGAGUCUUCCCUGAGACCUUGAGUCUCCUGAAGGAACG
rnacentral:rRNA from 1 species